CUCAAUAAUCCAUCCGUGAUGAAGGGCCUAC
rnacentral:piRNA from 1 species